rnacentral:rRNA from 1 species
AGAGUUUGAUNNUGGCUCAGGAUGAACGCUGGCGGCGUGCCUAACACAUGCAAGUCGAGCGGGAAAUAUUAGAACAAGACUUCGGUCUAGUGAAAAGAUGGAGAGCGGCGGACGGGUGAGUAACGCGUAGGCAACCUGCCUCAUACAGAGGGAUAGCCUCGGGAAACCGGGAUUAAAACCUCAUAAUGCGAGAAUUUCACAUGAGAUUAUCGCCAAAGAUUUAUCGGUAUGAGAUGGGCCUGCGUCUGAUUAGUUAGUUGGUGGGGUAACGGCCUACCAAGGCAACGAUCAGUAGCCGACCUGAGAGGGUAAUCGGCCACAUUGGAACUGAGACACGGUCCAAACUCCUACGGGAGGCAGCAGUGGGGAAUAUUGCACAAUGGGCGAAAGCCUGAUGCAGCAACGCCGCGUGAACGAUGAAGGCCUUUGGGUCGUAAAGUUCUGUCCUUGGGGAAGAAAAAAAUGACGGUACCCAUGGAGGAAGCCCCGGCUAACUACGUGCCAGCAGCCGCGGUAAUACGUAGGGGGCGAGCGUUAUCCGGAAUUAUUGGGCGUAAAGAGUGCGUAGGUGGUUUCAUAAGCGCGGGGUGAAAGGCAAUGGCUCAACCAUUGUAAGCCUUGCGAACUGUGGAACUUGAGUGCAGGAGAGGAAAGUGGAAUUCCUAGUGUAGCGGUGAAAUGCGUAGAUAUUAGGAGGAACACCAGUGGCGAAGGCGACUUUCUGGACUGUAACUGACACUGAGGCACGAAAGCGUGGGGAGCAAACAGGAUUAGAUACCCUGGUAGUCCACGCCGUAAACGAUGAGCACUAGGUGUCGGGGUCGCGAGACUUCGGUGCCGCAGUUAACGCAUUAAGUGCUCCGCCUGGGGAGUACGCACGCAAGUGUGAAACUCAAAGGAAUUGACGGGGACCCGCACAAGCAGCGGAGCAUGUGGUUUAAUUCGAAGCAACGCGAAGAACCUUACCAGGGCUUGACAUCCCCUCUACAGACUCUUAACCGAGUUUUUCUUCGGACAGAGGAGACAGGUGGUGCAUGGUUGUCGUCAGCUCGUGUCGUGAGAUGUUGGGUUAAGUCCCGCAACGAGCGCAACCCUUGUCAUUAGUUGCCAGCAUUUAAGGUGGGCACUCUAGUGAGACUGCCGUGGAUAACACGGAGGAAGGUGGGGAUGACGUCAAAUCAUCAUGCCCCUUAUGUCCUGGGCUACACACGUGCUACAAUGGCUGGUACAGAGAGAAGCGAGAUCGCGAGGUGGAGCAAAUCUCCAAAACCAGUCCCAGUUCGGAUUGUAGGCUGCAACUCGCCUACAUGAAGUUGGAGUUGCUAGUAAUCGCAGAUCAGAAUGCUGCGGUGAAUGCGUUCCCGGGUCUUGUACACACCGCCCGUCACACCAUGGAAGUUGGGGGCGCCCGAAGUUGGUCAGAUAAUAGACUGCCUAAGGCGAAACCAAUGACUAGGGUGAAGUCGUAACAAGGUAGCCGUAUCGGAAGGUGCGGCUGGAUCACCUCCUUUCU